GACGUAGGGCGCGAGCGUUGUCCGGAUUUAUUGGGCGUAAAGAGCUUGUAGGCGGUUUGUCGCGUCUGCCGUGAAAAUCCGGGGCUCAACCCCGGACUUGCGGUGGGUACGGGCAGACUAGAGUGUGGUAGGGGAGACUGGAAUUCCUGGUGUAGCGGUGAAAUGCGCAGAUAUCAGGAGGAACACCGAUGGCGAAGGCAGGUCUCUGGGCCACUACUGACGCUGAGAAGCGAAAGCGUGGGGAGCGAACAGG
rnacentral:rRNA from 1 species